GCACCAGGGAAGUGACCUGGGUGUAGAAUCUAUCAUCCGCCCAGAACUGCCCGUUGGCUGCACUGGGGCGACACCUAUGCAGUCGCCCAAGGACACAAAACACGGACAGUCAAGCUCAGAGCUACUUAGAGGGAAACUCUGAACCUUGCAAUCUGAAGGUCAGCAGCCAGGACCGACGACAAGUGAACGAGGCUGAAGUCAGGUGUGAGUGCGAAGUUCACACUCUGAGUGGACUCAGAGGAGUUGGCCUCUGCAGUGGAGACAGCAUUGAGGAAUGAAAAGGGAGAUUGCCGGCUUGUACGGGCACCACAUGUCCACCCCCCAUAUCUAUUGAGCAUGCAGAUAUCCGGGUCAAGAACUACAGUGUGAACUCCAGGGAGAGGUAUGUCUGUAACUCUGGCUUCAAGCGGAAAGCUGGAACAUCCACCCUGACCGAGUGUGUGAUCAACAAGAACACAAAUGUUGCCCACUGGACAACUCCCAGCCUCAAGUGCAUCAGAGACCCCUCCCUAGCUCACUACAGUCCAGUGCCAACAGUAGCGACACCAAAGGUGACCUCACAGCCAGAGAGCCCCUCCCCUCCUGCAAAAGAGAUUUCUCCCCAGAGCUCCAAAAUGACAAAUGUGGCCAUCUCUACAUCGGUCCUCUUGGUUGGUGCAGGGCUUGUGGUGGCUUUCCUGGCCUGGUACAUCAAAUCAAGGCAGACUUCCCAGCCAUGCCGUGUUGAGGUGGAAACCACGGAAACACUACCAAUGACUGUGAGGGCCAGCAGCAAGGAGGACGAAGACACAGGAACCUAACCACACGAUUUCAGAAACUCAGGGAGACCUGCGCAGCUGAGUCUGAAGGGAAGACACAAGGGCAGUUAAUCCAGCUGCGCCUGGACACAGGAGAAAGCCAGAUGUAAUAAUAGAGGUCUCUGGUAUGAUCAGUUUUACUGAGCCUGGGUGCCUCCCAUAUGCAGGCCUGGAUCCCCGGUCUCCGGGAGACCACCACCUUUCCUCCUGGUUCAUCACAGAGGCCAACUUCCCCGGAUUACAAGCAGCCUGGGCUCUGCUGGGAGUCUCCAUAAAAGCCUCUAACUCCACUCAGAGAUUAACUCAAAGCAGCUCAUCUGCUAGGCUCUCUUUUCUAUUCCCUACUCUGAUUUGCAGUUUACAGAGAUUAACAAGGCUCCCAUUGUCUUCUGAGGCCCCUCUGGCACAGGAGAUGCCUGUAAAGAAGUCAGCAACAUUUGAGUUCCUGAGGACUUGGCCCUUUGCUGCUUUGCACCUAUUGGAAGAGAGCAGAGAACGGAAGAAGAGAUAUUGAGCCAAUGAACCCUUUCGUAUAGGAUUCAUGACAAAACCAAACUCAGUGACCAUAUAUGUAUGUGUGUGUGUGUGUUGUGUGUGUAUGUAAAAGUGUUUAUUUACAUAUACAUUUAUAUUUAUACUUUCUUUUCUAUUAUAUGUACAUAUUGUAUACAAUUUGUAUUUGAAAGUUCUUUGUGUAGACAAAAUAAAAUAUCUAUUUUCAGUACAAAAA